GCUGGGUGUGGUGGCGCACACCUGUAAUCCUAGCUACUCGGGAGGCUGAGGCAGGGGAAUUGCUUGAACCCAGGAGGUAGAGGUUGCAGUGAGUGGAGAUUGCACCGAUGCAUUCCAGCCUGGGUGACAAAGCAAGACUCUGUCUCCG
ensembl:misc_RNA Metazoa_SRP Metazoan signal recognition particle RNA